CAAAGUUCCUUGAUUAUUACGCCGGAAUGAGAGUAUAGUUCCUAGCCAUAUCGGCCUAGAAAAUCACAACUCUUCAUUUUCCGUCGGUUAACUUAGUACAGGAUGUAAUUACAGA